rnacentral:rRNA from 1 species
UUAAAAGAAAAUUACUUAAAAAAAUAUAAUUUUAUUUUAAAUUUAAUAAAAAUAAUUUUAAUAAAAUAAAUUUUUGUAAAUUUUAUUGAUAAAAUAAUUUUAGUGAUAGAAAAAUAGUAUAGUAAUAGAAUUUAAUUAUUUAUAAUUAUUAAAAAAGUAAUAUUAUUUAUAUGUACCUUUUGUAUCAGGGUUUAUUAAAAAAAAAUUAAGAAGUUUAAUUAUCUCGAAUUUAAAAGAGUUAAAGUUUUAUAAAAUUUAUUGUUAUAAAAAUAUUUUAAAUAAAAUUUUAGUAAUGAAAUGUUAUUCGUUUUUAAAUAUAUCUAGUUUUUUAAGAAGUGAAUUGAAUUCAGAUAUUUUUUUAAAGAAAUUUAUUUAAAAUAAUAUAAUUUGGAAAAAAUAUUAAAAAUUUUAGGGAUUAGCUUAAAAUUUUAUUUAUAAAAAAAAUAAAUAAAAAAAAUAAUAGGAUUAGAAAUUUUCAAUUUUUAAUAAAAUGUUAUAAUUAAUUUAUGAAAUAAUCUUAUUUAUAAAAUUUUAAAUAAAUUUAUUAAAAUAAAAUUUUAAAUAAAUAAAGUUUGGAAUAAUGAUAAAAUUAGUAUUAUUUAAAUUAAAAAUAAAAAUGUUAUAAUAAAGAUAAAAAUAAGGAAUUCAGCAAAAAUAAAAUACUCACCUGUUUAUCAAAAACAUGUCUUUUUGAGAAUAAUUUAAAGUCUGACCUGCCCACUGAUAAAAAUUAAAGGGCCGCAGUAUAUUGACUGUGCAAAGGUAGCAUAAUCAUUUGUCUUUUAAUUGAAGGCUGGAAUGAAUGGUUGAAUGAAGUAUUAACUGUCUCAUUUUUAAAAUGUUAAGAAUUUAGUUUUUAAGUUAAAAAGCUUAAAUAAAUUUAAAGGACGAGAAGACCCUAUAGAUCUUUAUAAUAAAAAUUUAAUUUAUAAAGUUGAAUUAAAUAUAUUAUUAAAUAAUUUAUUAUUUCAUUGGGGUGAUGAAAAAAUUUAUAAAACUUUUUUUAAAAUAAAACAUAGAUUAAUGAAUAGUUGAUCCAAUAAUAAUGAUUAAAAGAUUAAGUUACCUUAGGGAUAACAGCGUAAUUUUUUUGAAGAGUUCUUAUCGAUAAAAGAGAUUGCGACCUCGAUGUUGAAUUAAAGAUUAUUUUUAAAUGAAGAAGUUUAAAGUUUAGGUCUGUUCGACCUUUAGAUCUUUACAUGAUUUGAGUUCAAACCGGUGUAAGCCAGGUUGGUUUCUAUCCUUAAUUAAUACAUAUAUUUUAGUACGAAAGGACCAAAUAUAUAAAAAAUUUUUUAAAAAUAUGAAUAAUAUU